AUUGAACGCUGGCGGCAGGCCUAACACAUGCAAGUCGAGCGGAAGAAGGGAGCUUGCUCCUGGUUCCAGCGGCGGACGGGUGAGUAAUGCCUAGGAAUCUGCCUGGUAGUGGGGGAUAACGUCCGGAAACGGGCGCUAAUACCGCAUACGUCCUGAGGGUGAAAGUGGGGGAUCUUCGGACCUCACGCUCUCAGAUGAGCCUAGGUGGGACUGGCUAGCUGGUGGGGUAAAGGCCUACCAAGCCGGCGAUCCGUAACUGGUCUGAGAGGAUGAUCAGUCACACGGGAGGUGGGACACGGUCCAGACUCCUACGGGAGGCAGCAGUGGGGAAUAUUGGGCAGUGGGGGGAAGCCUGAUACAGCCGUGCCGCGUGUGUGAAGAAGGUCUUCGGAUUGUAAAGCACUUUAAGUUGGGAGGAAGGGCAGUAAGUUAAUACCUUGCUGUUUUGACGUUACCGGCAGAAGAAGCACCGGCUAACUACGUG
rnacentral:rRNA from 1 species